AAAUUUUAAAAAAUAAAAAAAUAAUUGUUUUAAUUUUUUUUCGAAUUAUACUAUUUUGAAAUUUAAACCCUAAACCCUAAAACUCAACUCUAAACCCUAAACCAUCAAUCCUAAACCUUUUUUUUUUUUUGAAAUACGAACCCUAAACCCAGAAACAUCAACUCUAAACCCUUAACCCCAAAACAUCAACUCUAAACCCUAAACCUUCAACUCUAAACCUUAAAUCAUCAACUCUAAACCCUAAACCCUAAACUUCAACUAUAAACCCCAAACCAUCAACACUGAACCCUAAACUAUCAACACUAAACCCUAAACCCUAAAAAGUAAACUCUAAACCCUAAACCCUAAAACAUUAACCCUAAACCCUAAAACAUUAACUCUAAACUCUAAACCCUAAACCUUUAAUUCUAAACCGUAAACCCCAAAUCCUAAACCCUAAAACUAGAGUUGAUGUUUAAGGGUUUAGAUUUGAAGGUUAAGAGUUUUAGGGUUUAGGGUUUACGUUUAGGGUUUAGGGUUUACAUUUAGGGUUUAGGGUUGAUGUUUUAGGGUUUAGAUUUUAAGGUUUAGGGUUUUAGGGUUUAGGGUUCGAAUUUCAGAAAAAUAUAGGGUUUAGGGUUUAGGGUUUACGUUUAGGGUUUAGAGUUGACGUUUUAGGGUUUAGAUCUGAAUGUUUAUGGUUUAGAGUUGAUGUUUCGGGGUUUAGGGUUUAGUGUUGAUGUUUCAUAGUUUAGGGUUUAGAGUUGAUGUUUCAUGGUUUAUGGUUUAGAGUUUAUGAUUUAGGGUUUAGAGUUGAUGUUUCAUGGUUUAUGGUUUAGAGUUUAUGAUUUAGGGUUUAGAGUUGAUGUUUCAUGGUUUAUGGUUUAGAGUUUAUGAUUUAGGGUUUAGAGUUGAUGUUUCAUGGUUUAUGGUUUAGAGUUUAUGAUUUAGGGUUUAGAGUUGAUGUUUCAUGGUUUAUGGUUUAGAGUUUAUGAUUUAGGGUUUAGAGUUGAUCUUUUAAAUUUAGAUUAGUUAACCUUAUGUUUUUUUUUGUCAAAGUUAAUCAAAAGGUUAUAAAUGGCUUUUACCUUUCAUUAAAGAUGAAGGUAAAACUGGUUAGUGUAAACAUGAAAAGUGGUACUUUGAAAAUAGUAUUUUUGGCAAUUUCCCUAAAAAGUAGUAGUAUGAAUGUGGUAUUUCUGGCAAGUUCCCAUAAAAUAAUAAGAUAAUUAAUUUUUCAAAAGCUUUUGUAAAUAUACAAUUUAGAUAUAAAUAGAAAUUAAUAAUAAAUAUAUAUCUGAGUUUAUAAAAAUACAAACAAAAUGUUAGAUGGUUUUUUCUUUAUUUACACUGAUAUUUAUUUUUUAUUUUUUCAAAUGUUUCAAUAUAUUCCUUAUAUUAUUAUUUUACAUCUACAAGUAUAUUAAUUACAUUUAAGGUAUAUAAUUUAUAUACACCAAUUAAUCAAAUAAAAAUAAAAUGAAAUUUGUAUUAGUAGGAUUUUAUCAAUAUAUACCGUAAAAUCAUUGCUUCUUCUUAUUACUACAUAAAUAUAUAUAUAAAUCUAAAAGAGUUAUGUGAUUUAAUAAUUAUAUGAAUUAAUAAAAUGUUAUAUUUUGAAUAUUGUUAAUUUAUAGAGUUUUUAAUGUUUGUAUAUGUCACAUGCAAAAUUUUCUUUUGUAAACUUUAUGCGCUGGAAAAUAAUUACAGAUGAUUAUUAACGAUGAUGCCACGUGAAUUAUUAGAGCAUCAUUAUUGAUAAGAGCACUUUAUGUAUUUCUCAAAAAAAAAAAACUGAUUAAAAGUUAAAAAUUAUUCAUAAAACGACAUGUGUCCUAAAUCUAUUUAUACGAUGACAUCCAUAGAAUAUAAUUGAGAAACAUUAUAACUUCUUUUUAUAGUCACAUGUCAUCAGUACGAUGAUUUUUAGAAUCAUUAGAAAAUAUGUUGGUUCAUCUAAUUAGAUAAUAAACUUUUUAUUAAACUAAUUAUAAAUUCAUUAUUAAUGUUAUUUAUUAUUAAUUUCCUUAAAUAAAAAUUACGGAAUUGUCUAAUGUGGCUAAAAUAUAUAUGUCAAUUAUUAAUUUUGAAUACUAAAUGUUUGAUAAAAAUUAGUGUAUCUAUUAUCAUAUUUGUUUAAUUUUAAACUAUUAAAAUUAAUUAAACAACCAUAGUAACCCUAUAAUAAAAAUUUUGAUUUUUCUGUAUAUGUUAUAUUUUGAAUUUUUAAAAACGACUAUAAAUUAAUUAAAAUGUUUAAAGUCUCAUAUUUAAAUUUUGUGAUCCAUGAUUUAAAAUUUUUGUUAUGAUAUAUAUAUAUAAAUCUUUUUAAAUAACCAUAUAAAAUACAUAAAUAUUUUAAUUUCGAAAUUUAUUUUGAACAAUUAUUUUUGAUAAAUGAUUUGAGCGAACAUUGACAACUUUUUUUUUAAAUUUUAAAUUACGAAAACUAUUAGUCUAACAAUGAAAAUUUUGUUAUUAGUAAGUUAAAAUUUUUGCUAUAAAAGAUACAAUGAUGAAAAAAACCAUAUGAAUAUAAAGGGUCAUCUAAUAGACAUUAAUAUUUAAAAUAUCUAUGUAUGUUAAUAUCAGUUAAAUUUAAUUACAUAUCUUAUCAAAUAGAAAAAAGUUAUUGUUUGGAUUAAUACUGACUUAUAAUUAUUCUAUACAUAUUUAUUAUUUCAUAACAUGUAAAAAAAUAUAAUACAUAAAAUAAUCCCAAUAUAUGAAAGAGAUUGAAAGAGGUUUUUUAAGCUGUCCACGUCGGAUUGGAAAUUCAGGCCAAUCAGGAAGUUUAAAAUCGUCAAGUCACUGAUGCUGAAUAAAUUGGGCUUCUGUGUAGAUUUUCUUUAAAUUUUCAUCUGGCCAACCCAAGCCCAUGCCGAGAAACCUGUUUCAUCUUCGAGUGUUGAGACCCCGACUCUUCCACUUCAUCUUAUCGUUCUCAUGAGAGAAACCCGGGCAUUCUUCAACUGAACUGUUCUUCCACUCUGAUUCUCAUUAAAUCCUCUUCUUUAUUCUUUCAAUCGAUAACAUGGAAGCGUUCUGACUUCUUCUGUUUCUUAGCUUAUAUAAACUCGUAUUAGAAUCUGUGCUACAUGCACAAACCAGAAAAAUUCUAAAACCACAUCAAGCAUUAGCAACCGUUUUCGCAAAAUCCACCGGGAGGCUUCAAUGGCUCAUUUUUUUAGCGACGUCUCAUUGGCUUAGCUGAAUCAGAUAUCCAUUUCCAUUUAGUACAUCUUUUGAAAUCAAGAAACAUAAAUACAUGGGAAGUUUAAUUGGGCUGGAGCUGCUUAUAAUUGUGAACAGGUAUGAAAAUAGUUACCGGACUUAAUUGUAUGUAUGAAACUCAUAUUUAAGUUAUUUUUAUUGCUAAUCUAAUAUGAGACUUCUCGUUCUGGUAUAUAGUGAUUGCAGUUUGUCAACGUGGAUUAAUUUGCCAUCCAAGAAGAUUCAAUAACGCUGCUUGGAAGUUGGAAUAUCCGUCGUAGAUUGCCUUUCCUCCUCUUCUGGUAUGUAUAUCCUGCAAUCCAAUUUCUCUAAAGAUGUUUGCUAUUUUUUUUAUUUGUUUUUUAAGUGCUUCUUUCUCUGUUGGAAUGUGGAAUAGAUGAAAAAGUUUCCAGCUUUAGGUCAUUUCGCUAAUGAUCGCAAAGAGAUCAAUGAAUUUGUACCUUCAGUUAAUAGAACUUUUCUUACAUUAUUAACAGAUCUAUUGUUGGUUAACAUUGCUAAAGGGCAAGCAGGAAGGUAUACGACUAUUUACCAGAAGCUCGCUCUGAAACACCCUUCCUUCAGAGGCAACACUGAUCUUAUCAUGGUAAUCUCUUUGCAGCCUAGGCUACCAUUCAUACCAGACGAUGUCAUUUGUCUUCUCUGCAUCCUCACUCCUUUACCAGCCUUCGGUGUCCUGUUUGACAACGAGGGAGUUAAAGACCCUGUGAUCCAGUCUCCCAUCGGACCUGAAGAAUAUUUAAAGAGAUUGCACCCUAUUGAUCUUGAGAAACUUCAGUUCGUUGGAGCGCCUUGGACAAUCACGACUUAUAUCGUUGAAGGAGGAACAACUUGGACAUACACAGUGAUAAAGAGUUUGUGCCACACUGCACCAUAUGUACUGAGAGCUCUAUUAUCUAAAAUAAAAUCAAAGUCAUCACAGAGUACAUUGUGUAACAAGUUGAGCACGUAGCUUACUGCAUACAAAUAUUUGAUUUAUGGGUGGACAGUUGACUCCCGAGAUGUGAGAGCAUUGGUCCAAACCCUACAUCAGAGAGGUAUAGUCUAAGUACUUUCCAUCUUGAGUACUUGAAAAGAUUCCCUUUUGGUGUUUUAACGUUUCCUUUUUCUAAUUUGGGCUUCCCAUAUCAUUCAUGCUGUAAAGAGAAGAUGUUCAGACACGCAUGUUGUUUUCUACAUAAAUGGAAACGGUGGCGUUCUUCAGCGGAUGUUAUUGGACUUGACUGGACUAAGAUAUGGCUGAUGGAAGGAGGCGAUUGUGGAGUGGUGUUAGAGUCCAGGGAAAUGUUGAUACAUCUAACCUAUUAUCUCUGCUUCCUGCUUUAACUGAAGAGAUGAUCUCACUCACAUUACCCUAAAGAGUGAAUUUACUCUCUCAAAUAAAAGGUUCAAUUAUAGUACUUAGGUAUCGAAUCCACAAGGAGCUAGGGAACCUAAUGAAUCUAAUAUGAUUUGUUAAGUAAGGUGGUUUUAAUGAUUUAAAUGAAAAGUUGCAGUUUUGUUUAACAAGUAAUUGCUCGAUUGAUUGGUUGAGGUUUUGGUGCUUAAAAGGAAAUAGCUAGACUUAGGGUUUUUAUUCAGGAAACUUGGGAUUAUAAUCCUACAGAUGCCUAAUGAGCUGCAUGCAUGAUAAUGUAAAGCUCAACUACUAAAUCAACAAGUCAAUCAGCUCUCGUAUGUCUGGACUCGUCUAUUAACUAGAUCUAAUGAGCCAAACAAAUGUGUUCGAUCAAUAGCAGUGUCGAUCGAUGAUCCUUUAGGGAUAUCGAUCGAUACACCUUUCACUCCGUCGAUCGAUUAUUCAGUAUUGAUAUUGAUCGACGCGCUUCUAGUUAAGCUUUAUGCGCGGGUUGAAUGAUGCUUACUAAGCUUACUAGAUCAGCUCUCGCCUUACUCUUAGCAAGAAACUUAGCUCAGUUAGAAUGGUUUCAGGAUGAAAAUGAAGCUAUCUCUUUUAUAUAGGGCAAGUUCUAGGUAGCUAAUCUAGAAUCAGACAUUAAUAACAAUCCUAAUGAUAAUUAUCUAAACUCAACAAUCUAUAGUUGUGGCUAAUCCCUCAUAACCUAAUUAAACCCUAAAUCUAACAAUGGAACUACUCAGACAUGGCCAAGCAAUUCAUGAAAGCAAUUAGGUAAGAAAACUUCAUUAGAAUAGUAAAUAGAUAUUAAUGGAGUUCCAAUAAAAAAAUUAUAACUUUGGAUCUUCUCUCCGAUCUAUCAAAAUCCUAAAAACCUUUGCUGACAAUAAUAAAACUAGAAACACAAGAAAGCACCCCCUUUACCUGUAACAUAGUAGCAAAGCUUAUAUAAUUAGGUUAAAACUCGUCAGGGGUAAUCUUGUAAAUUGGUGAAGACUUAGGCUUCAAGUCGGCUGUGGCCAAACGGGCCUUCUGCGCGCUUCGCUGUCGAUCGAUGUUCUGAUGUGAACAUCAAUCGAUAUUUUUUCCUAAAUAUCGACCGAUGGUCGAGCUCGAUGGUCAUUUCGGGUGCUUGCUCCAAAUAUCUCCAAAAUGCUCCAAAAUCAUCACUUAUCUCCAAAUCACUCCGGAUCUUAUAAAUAUAAUAAAUAGACUCUAUAAUAUAAUAAUUAGUAGUAAAAACACCUAUAAACCAUGAGUGAAAGUGGGUCAAAUCCAUGGUCUAUUAACUCCCCCAGACUUACCCUUUUGCUUGUCCUCAAGCAAAACAAACAGGCAGUCUCUCUGAAAGAGGUUUGAAAACAGCAGGGACUCACACAAUUUUAAACCUAGAAUCAUCACCUCUACAAUAUUGCAAUCCACAUCUAAGAAGUCCUAAUCACAAAAGCACAUUAUACCAUAUCCUAGCUUAGCAACCAAAUUCACCUAGCUGACAACUUAGAAAAUCUUGUCUGGCAUUCCCCUCUACCAACCUCAUUUCUUAGAAUAAAUAAAAGUGCAAGCUUUACCUUGGGAGUAUCGAUCACAGGAUGCAAGGAUUUUCAAACAAGUAUCUAGACCUUCAGGUAAACAUUAGUUCUUAUCCUCUCUUUCUACUAACUUUCUCUCUUAGUCAAAGUCUGCUUAUAUUUGCAAGAUCAUUGACCAAGAUUGGACAGGCUUCCAUGAAUCAAGAUUUAAUGGUGGUUGCCACCAAGUCAUGUUCACUUUUUUUUGACCUAUAUCCUAGGAUUAUUUGUGAAGUAAGCCUUAAUGGUUGUAGCCACCAAGUCCUGUUCUAAUCCUUUACCUAUAGAAUUCUUAUAAAGCAAGCCUUAGUGGUUGUAGCCACCAAGUCCUGCUCGAAUCCUUUACCUAUAGAAUUCUUAUGAAGCAAGCCUUGAUGGUUAUAGCCUCCAAGUCCUGUUUGAAUCCCUUCCUAAUAAAUCUCUAAUAGAUAUGUAUAUAUAUAAUAAUAAUUUUUUUUUUAAAUCUAUAUUUCGAAAAUAGAGAGAGAGAGAGAGAGAGAGGAUGAUAAAUCUAUAUACACAAGGCUUUACCUUCCAGACUUGUUUGAAGAAUCCGAUCCCAUGUAUAUCAAGCCCCAAGACAAGCAGUUGUGUCAGGUUUAGUGUUGGAGGUCAGAUUUGGUUCCUUUAAACAAUCUCAGCAAGUGUACCAUAGUUGACAGGUUGAUCCACUUUAGUAUCUUUAGUACUAUAUACAAUUAAUAAGUCUAGAAUGGUGCUAAAGAGUGGUUAGAUAACAAGCAAAAAUCUAAUAAGUUCAUUAUCCCCUUCUUGACUCAAUAAAAACUUUUUGUUUGAAAAUAUAUUUUAAUAAGACUCAUAAAUAAACUACUAUCAGUAAACCUCCCCCCAGACUUAAACUACACUGUCCCCAGUGUAAACUCAGUCGAAGUUAUGGUGAUAAAUAAAUCAUAAGUAUGUAAUGUAACAAGUUAGAACUAUAUACCAGACCGGAAUGUAUGUCGACCGAUGUUAGGAUGUUGAUAUCGGUCGCGACAGGUGAUGCUAUGUCGAUCGAUGUCGACAGUGUUUUGUCGGUCGAUACUGACGGCAAUCGUCUACUCGGAUCUCUUUUUUUUUUUUUUUUUUUUUUUUUUUUUAGACCUGCAAUAAUUAAAAACCAACAUAAAUAGUAGAUUCAUAAAAACUAAAUAAAUAUUACCUAAUAGUGGGUUGCCUCCCACUCAGAGCUUUGUUAUAGUCAUGUAGCUAGACUUUUGGAGGUGAUUUGGCUAGUAAUGUUGAAAGCUGUCACUUGUUGGGAAACAAGUCUCCAUUUCUUCUCUGCGCUUGUUGAACCAUGUACCAGUGAAGUCUCACAUUGCUUCAUCUCCUCUGCGCCAUUUGUCUUUCAUUAUUGUAGUUGCAUCUUCUAUCUUCUGCAGUCUAUCUCCAAAACUCUCCAGAUUGAACUGAUGUCUCAUAACUGUGGCGUAUGUGUCAGCUGAGAUCUCUUCUCCAUGGUUAUGUGUGUCAAACUUGUCUGAUGUCACCUUUUGUACUAGCCGGCCUCGGUUUGUAGCGUCGUCGACCGAUGUCUGGCGACGAAUGUCGGUCGAUAUGUUGUUGCUUCUGUCGAGUGAUGCGGAUGCUAAUGCUUCUGGUCGACAGGCAAUGUAACUCUGAAUCUCCACUAAUUCCCCUUGAAUAGCUUCUAUCUUGGAAGUCAAAGCACUAAUUCUAAGAUCCAUUUGGAAAUAGAUGUCAUCACAUCUCCUGUCAAGCCUCUCUUCUGUAGUUUCCAGAGCUCUGUAGAUCCCUUCUACCAACUGAUCUAUCUCUCCCCUGGUGUGAAAAUUUGGUUGAGACUUCAUCGUAUGUGAGUGUGGUGGGUUGUCGUCGACCGAUGCUGGUAAGCGGUUGUCGAUUGAUGCAUGUAAGCGACUAUCGACCGAUGCCUGUCGAUGUCUGUCGAUCGAUGUAGAGCGAGUCACGUCGGCCGCACGCUGAAUUCUGGCUAUGUUUUGCCUCAUCUCUUCCAUGCAAGUAGUUAGCCAACUGAUACUAUCAUGCAAUGGAUAGUAGACUCCAUCAAGCUUCAUCUGGAAGUCUUCUUUGUUCUUCUCUUGUUCUCCGCAGAUUCCACAGAACAUCUCAUUGAUCUCGUCCUUGGUGUAGAUCUCUGGUACUAGCUUGGUCUGUGUGAAUGAGCUAGCAUGUUCUGGAAGGCAUAUGUAGUUGGGUUCAUCUCUCGAAGCUCUUUCCAGAAGUCUUCUGAUAUCUUUGUUGAAAACGCGAAUGGUGUGUCCAUCUACGUCUCUGGCGUAUCCCUUAACAUCUCUGUAGAUUCCAUACUCAUCCUUCUCUUCCCAGUAGAAUUUUCUGGUUCCAAAAAGAUCAAAAGCUCUUCUUCCAAAUUCAGGACGUCUGUCGACCGAUGUUGAGGCGUCAACGUCGAUCGAUGGUUGAGUAGGAUGUCGAGACCUCUGUUUGAAGAUUUUAUCGAUGCCACCAGCUGUGUCAUAGAACUCCUUUGUAACCUUCUGCUGGUGUUCUCUAAUAGUCCAUUGUUGCAUGAAGAGGUUGUCUGCCCCAUUGGCUGUCUGAAGGAUGUCUACAAUAUCCUCUCGAGAUACGUGCAGUGUACGUCCAUCUAUUGCUUUUGCAUAGCCAUAUGGGUCCCUGAAAAUACCAAAUUCGUCUGGAAUUAGAUACUGGUUAUCAGAUUUAUAUUUUUUGCUUACAGUGGGUUUUGGUUUUGGACGGAUGUCGAUCGAUGUUGUAGGAUUGAUGUCGAUCGAUGGAGGAAUAGCUCUGUCGAUCGGAUGGUUGAAAUGUGAUCUUCCCCAAAUAGCUUCUGCUCGUUUCUGAUCUGUCUCAUCGUGUCUUUGCAUGUUGAGAAGUUCCUCAUAAGUGGAACCCUCAUGAAGUUCAUCAGCUCCUUGAUCACAAUAUGUUGUCUCUACUGCGUAGCUCUCGUGAUGGCGAUCAUCUGCCCAACUUCCAAUUGAGUAAUCUCUGUCUCGAGUAGCGUCGACUUAAGUGUUGAUCGAUGGGUAGUAGGCGAUGUCGGUCGAUGCUCGUUUUCGAUUUCUCUGAUGAGGUUGAGUGUCGAUCGAUGGCGAGCUUGUUCUGUCGAUCGAUGGUGCAUUAUUUUUCCAAAAGUAAUGAUGUAGAAGUUUAUCCUCCUAAUCAAGAAUGGCUUUGUACUCGGUAGCUCGUUCCUCCUCAUAGUCUUCAUCAUACUCCUCCGUAUGCAUGUUUGGUCUGGUGUAUGCUGCCAUAGUGGGGUUGUAGUAGUCGUUCUCCCAAUCUUCCGGACUACUGUCGAUCGAUUCUUCCUUUGGUGUGUCGGUCGAUUUCUGAUGGGCACUGUCGAUCGAUGUUGCAGUGUGAGUUUCGAUCAACGCCGAAUAUUCUAUCUCGUACUUAGCUCCGCAGUGGCAUGCUGCAAUGAUUCUUGGAUCAUUGAUUCUUCUGGGGGUCGUCUAUGUCUUCUUGACUAGAAUAGGGUUGUAGUGGGCAUGAGGAUCUAUGAGCGUUAGGCACAACUGGUUGGUUUGCAAGUUGCAAACUGCUCCCACUGUUGACAAGAAGGCUCUCCCAAGUAAUAGAAAAGAGUUCUGGAUUAGCUUGAUGUCCAAGACAUGGAAAUCUACUGGAACUAGGGCAUUACCAAUCUGCACCUCUAGGUCUCUCACAAUCCCUCCUGAGUUCCUCUAAGAACAAUCCACAAAAGUGAAUAAUUCCUUGGGAGGCUCUACCUGCAGACCUAGAUGGUCUGCCAUAAUCCUAGGUAGGACGCUGACUGAUGCUCCUGUGUCGCACCAGGCAUGUGAGAAUUCAAUACCCUUCACCGUGCAUGGUAUUGCAAAUUGCCCAUGAUCACUCUUCUUCUUCAAUGUAACCCUCUUCCUCAUCUGCUCUCUAGCUUUACAAAACAUUCUCCUAAUGUCGUCUUCUGUCUCUCUGGUUUCUCUGAAGAACAUCCACAAUCUGUGGGUAUAAUAAGCCUCAUCGAAUGGCUUUUCUAGAGGAAUCCUGAAGACUCUUUUUCGGAAACUUUCUUUUUCCUUUUCAUUAGCCCCCCCUCUUCAGAUGUUUCGCCACUUUUUCCUUUUUUUCCUUAGGGUUCUUCCCGUAGGAACCCUAUCAACCUCCAUAGAAUAUAUUCCAUCAUCUGAAGGUGUCCUGACGGCCUCUGGUUGGUUUUCUGAAGGUUUGGGUUUGGGCCUGAGUGCAUUAAGACGUGCAACAUCUAUCUUCGGCAUCUGCACUCGGUAUGUAAUAGGUGCUCGUCGAUCGAUGGGCGCUGGUGGUUGUCGAUCGAUGAUGGUUUCCUGAUGUCGAUCGAUGACGUUUUCCCGAUGUAGAUUGAUGACGGGCUCUUGAUGUCUAUCGAUUUUCAAGUAGACAGGACUGGGAGGAUGUGGGUGUUUUGCUGCGAACUCCUCGUGAGUCAUGAUCCUCCGUGGGUGUUGUCGAUCGAUGACCAGGAAAGGAUAUCAAUUGGUUUUGGGUGACUUCUGUCGACCGAUGUUCGUGGCUUGGCGUCAAUUGACACCAAUGCGAUCCACCGAAACUCAUCAGACUCUCUACUUCGAAAUCUCCUUCUUGCAGUUUCUCUUCUUUCACCACUUGCCAGAAAUCAUCCCCAAUGAUGGCAUUCACGUGGUGCUUCAUCACAUCGUCUUCUACCCCUAUGAGGCUCCCUGCUUCUUAACAGCUUUUCCUGUCUGAACAACCUGCAUCUCCAGCUUCUUCACAUGAGUGCUCAAAGUCUCAAACUUUGUGUUCAGGUUGGUGUUGAUGGAAUCAAUCUUCCCAUUGAAGUCCACUGUCAUGCGCUGCUGUCCCUCGAGAACUCCAUCAAGCAUUUCCUCAAUCUUGCUCUCUUGAGUUGGCGGUGGUGGCUUCUGGUAGUAGGAGCUUCCAUAACCCAUGUUGUUGCUGUAGUUGUUGCUGUAGGGUUUCUCGUGCUGCGAACUCUGGUUGAAAUUGUCCCUAUUUCCAUAGGAGUUUCUGUUUCUACCCUGGUUUCCAGACCAGAACCUUGGAAUCCAGUUCCACUGAUGAAGUUCACAUCUGCUUCCUCUGCUCUACCCUCUGUAUUUAAAGCCUCUGCAUCUUCAACCAAGCAGACCUACUUCCUGAGAAGCUUGUGAACACUGUCCAACUUUGCCUUCACCUCAUCCAUCUGAUCAGUCCCAAGGAUGGUGGCAGAUCUCUUCCUCUCAAAAUCAGUGUUCUUGGUGCUGCUGCUAGAUGCUAGAUUUUCAAUGACCUUCACUGCCUCCUCUGGAUUCUUGGUGUUGAAGUUCACAUUGCUGGAAGCAUCAAGAGCUAUCUGGUAUUGCACCGUGAUGCCUCUGUAGAAAGUACUGAGCAGUUGUACUUCAUUGAAUCCAUGGUGUGGACAGUCUCUCUGAUAAGACUUGAAUCUGAUCCAGGAGCUUCUGAAUGAUUGUGUAGGCUCAUGAGUGAAUGUAGCAAUCUUUCUCCUCAAGUCUUUAGCACGUGCUUCAUAGAAGAAGUUGCAUAAGAAUGCAUUCUUGAUGUCGCUCCAGGAUGUUAGGGAUCCUGGCGGUAGCUGCUUAAGCCAAUGCGAAGCAUCUCCAGCAAGUGAGUACUUGAAGAACUUGCAUAGGAGGUAGUCUUCAGAGACUCCCUCGACUUUAAUAGCAGAUAUCAGAUCUUCGAACCUCUCCAGAUGGUCCAUAGGAUGCUCGUGAGAUAACCCAUAGUAGGAUGUCUGUCCCACGAGUGUGUAGUACUGCGGCUUCAGCUCGAAAUCCCUCUGACUAGUUGGGGUUCGAAUGGCUGAUCUGUUGGUGUAGAACUGAUCUAGAUGGUUGUAGUCAGCCAACAUUCUGGGUCGAGCAGCCUCAUCAACAUGUAAAGUAGCUCCUGUAGCUUCAGACUCAGGGAUUGCAGCCCCCUGAGCAUCUAUCCUCUGACAUGUUGCAUUACGCAGAUGAUCUUCCUGGUCAUACAGGUCUCCUCUCUCAUCACGUACAAGAAUCAAAGUCGCAACCAUGUCUCGCGGUUCAGUAUCGAUCGAUGUCCGGACUGAAGUAUCGAUCGAUGUCGGAUGGAAGAUGUCGGUCGAUGGGAGAUGAGUGUCUUCGGUUGACGGUGGUGAGCGAGUAUCGAUCGACAUGACUAGUGGCUGGGUCGACGGUGGUUGACAAGAAUCGAGCGACAAACAAGCGUUGUUGUCGAUCGAUGAGGAGCGUGCUUCUUUGUGGAUUGAACGCUCCAAACUUGCAGGAUCUGGUGAGAAUAGCAGUUGAGUUUCCUUGUUGCUUCUAGUACUGCUAGGCAUGAACCUGAAAAUCCAAGAAAAAAUUUUAUGUUAGAAACUUAACAAAAUUAGAUCGAAUAGGCGAUCAAAGCUCCCCGGCAACGGCGCCAAAUUUGAUAUCACUCAAAUUACCCUAAAGAGUGAAUUUACUCUCUCAAAUAAGAGAUUCAAUUGCAGUACUUAGGAUUGAAUUCACAAGGAGCUAGGGAACCUAAUGAAUCUAAUAUGAUUUAUUAAGUAAGGUGGUUUUAAUGAUUUAAAUGGAAAGUUGCAGUUUUGUUGAGCAAGUAAUUGCUCGAUUGAUUGGUUGAGGUUUUGGUGCUUAAAAGGAAAUAGCUAGACUUAGGGGUUUUAUUCAGGAAACUUGGGAUUAUAAUCUUACAGAUGACUAAUGAUUUGCAUGCAUGAUAAUGUAAAGCUCAACUACUAAAUCAACAAGUCAAUCAGCUCUCGCAUGUCUGGACUCGUCUAUUAACUAGAUCUAAUGAGCCAAACAAAUGUGUUCGAUCAAUAGCAGUGUCGAUCGAUGAUCCUAUAGGGAUUUCUAUCGAUACACCUUUCACUCCGUCGAUCGAUUAUUCAGUAUUGAUAUCGAUCGACGCGCUUCUAGUUAAGCUUUAUGCGCGGGUUGAAUGAUGCUUACUAAGCUCACUAGAUCAGCUCUCGCCUUACUCUUAACAAGAAACUUAGCUCAGUUAGAAUGGUUCCAGGAUGAGAAUGAAGCUAUCGCUUUUAUCUAACAAUCCUAGGGCAAGUUCUAGGUAGCUAAUCUAGAAUCAGGCAUUAAUGACAAUCCUAAUGAUAAUUAUCACAACUCAGCAAUCUAUAGUUAGGGCUAAUCCCUCAUAACCUAUUUAAACCCUAAAUAUAACAAUGGAACUACUCAGACAUGGCUAAGCAAUUCAUGAAAGCAAUUAGGUAAGAAAACUUCAUUAGAAUAGUAAAUAUAUAUUAAUGGAGUUCCUAUCGCAAAUUAUAACUUUGGAUCUUCUCUCCAAUCUAUCAAAAUCCUAAAAAACUUUGUUGACAAUAAUAAAACUAGAAACACAAGAAAGCACCCCCUUUACCUCUAACAUGGUGGCAAAGCUUAUAUAAUUAGGUUAAAACUUGUCAGGGGUAAUCUUGUAAAUUGGUGAAGAUUUGGGCUUCAAGUCGGCUGUGACCAAACGGGCCUUCUGCGCGCUUCGCUGUCGAUCGAUGUUCUGAUGUGAACAUCGAUCGAUAUUUGUUCCUCAAUAUCGACCGAUGGUCGAGCUCGAUGGUCAUUUCGGGUGCUUACUCCAAAUAUCUCCAAAAUGCUCGAAAAUCAUCACUUAUCUCCAAAUCACUCCUGAUCUUAUAAAUAUAAUUAAUCGACUCUAUAAUAUAAUAAUUAGUAGUAAAAACACCUAUAAACCAUGAGUGAAAAUGGGUCAAAUCCGUGGUUUAUCAAGAGACUCAAAGGUGAGUAGUUUACUUUGUUGAGCUGAAGGUAAUAAUGCUUUAUAUUUAAUUCAAGAAACUGAAAAAAAAAAUGUCUUAUACGUAUUUAUGUGUCUUGCAGAAAAAGCUAGACAUAUAUGUUUUCCUUGGAGAUUUUAGUUUUAUGUACAGAUUGUAUUAUACAUUUUUUUUUUUUUUGGUAGCUCGUAUACUCCCAAACUUCAAAAACUUUUGCAAAUCGUCAAGAAAACGAUUUUGUCAAAGCAAAUCGUCUCGAAUAGGCAAACGACAAUCUAAAAUUCGUCUAAACGCUAGCAACAUAUCCAGACGAUCAUGAACAUAUUCUCAAAGACUAUACAUCAUUUCUUGUUGCAAUCAUGCGUACAGAAAACAUAUACCAAUAUCAAACUGAAACUCGACGAUUAGCCAAAGUAUUGAAGCCCUUUCCAGUUUUAGAAAGCCAGUUUCGUUUAAAAAUUUCUACGAGAAAUCUUCAUUCACCAAAGCAUUUCUUUCAGUUUCCGUUGUACCAAGUGAGCCACAGAAAAGCAUCGAAAACAUUUGUGACGAAGAAAACUCGAGAAUAGAUGUAGCAUCGUGCACAAAGAGACGCUUUCCUCCCGAUGGUGGCUAGAUCCACCUCUGGUCGACCAAUUCGUUCCAGAAACGAAUGUGUCAUGAGAAUCCUUUCAUAAAACCUAUGAAAAACGUUAUGUGACUAGAUCGUAAUGAAAUAAACUUCAGUAACACUCCAUGAGUAACUCCAAGCAACUUUCACCUAGGAUCAAAAUCACGGCAGAAACGUUUCUCGUGAAACCCACAGAAACAACGCUACUUUAACAUAUGUUUACAUAUCAUCGAUCUACAAACUUCGUAAAACCAGUCCCUGUUACUUACGCGAAAAAUCCUUCGUACAACCAGAUCAAGUCUUACGAAGAAACUUUCUAAAGUUAACAUAACAGGCUUUGUGAAGAACCAUGCGGCUCGUUGGCUUCUUCUUUUCUUUUCCCUCGGUCACAUCCGAGAAGGCAGUCGUCCCGCCACUGACUCCACAAUGGUUAUGUAGCAAACUUCUUGGGCUUCGUCUUCCUCAAGCAAAAAAGAUUCGAUUUUCAUAUGACUAUAGGUCACAUUGUACGAAAUAUUCGUCGUAUAACUGAAACCUAGAGCGGAGAAUCGUUUUCUACGACUAUCGGCCAUAUUAGCAUGGAUAACCCCGGCAAACUUGGCCUAUCAAUCUCAACAAGCUCUCUUUGGCCCUCGGUCAAUUACGCCUUCCACUAAAGGUCCAAACCAAUAUUUGCCAUCCCCUUUAAGGACGAUCGUAAACUAACAUGACCUUAAAUAUUAAUGUACCAUGGUCUAAUCCUUGACCUACAACAUCCUUGGCUAUCUGAGUGAACACAUCCCUCACGCCAAGCCAAACUAUUUGAGAAACCAUAGCUCCAUCACUUAACGGCUAAACAACAAUCUACGAUUUGUCUAAAAACGUCAUGUGACUACUAAGAGAAUAAUUAUCGUAUAGUCAAACAAGAACGUUUCUCAAACGCAGGGCUAAGACUAAACCCUUGCAACAUCGCAAAACAUCUUCAACCCCGCGAACAUUUCAAGCAAGAAACGCGGCAUACGAAAUAAUAACAAAUCUUCAGCCUCGCGAGACGUCACAGACGCCUGAAGAUUUGUUCUUCGACGAAAUUUCCUUCCUCGAUAAAAACACUUUCUUGGAAGACCAGACAGUCGUACGCACUAACAUCUUCUCAAAACAUAUCCUUCGCGAAGAUUCAAAAAGGUAUUUUUUACCAUUAAGUUUGUUGUUGAUCACAACGAAAUCUUAACGUCCUAAACAGACUUAGCCAUCUCGUGGAGAUGACUCUCGUACAUCCGACACAAGGAUAAUAGCGCUAUAAAAGAAACCCAAAAUUUUUGGUCAGCACUUCCAGGAGGCUUAAAAAUUGUCCUUGGAGAGAUGCUCGGUUCCAACCAUACAAGUCGUAUAAGCCGAGAACCUAUCGCGGACUUUAAAUCGGUAUGGAAUCAGGAUGAAACUGAAACGGGAUACGUAAGUCGAAUUAGUCAUCGCACCCUCUAAAACCAGGAGUAAACCUAGGUCUUGCCCUAAACCCAGCGCACUGGUCUCUAACAUCUCUAGGCAUAGUAUCAAAAACCUUGAUACGAGAUCCCAAAAUUUGUCUCUUUGCCAAUAUUCGAGCGUCUUCAGAAAUCCCGCAAUAUUUACACACUGCGGAAAACUCUCGAAACAGAUCACGGAUAUAGCAGUUCACACAGAGUUAGAUUACGAGAUGACAACUCGUAAUCUUCCUUCUACACCCAUAUAAAAUGCCAUCGGCAGCAACACGCCUGAUAACCGCUACAUAAAAACUAGACCAUAAAGGUCUCGCUGGAAAACAAGUCAUAAGAACCUUAACUCCAAGACGAACUACGAAAGGCUUGAUCCCUUCAACAAGGGUACGUAGGCAGCCGUCAUAAAGCGCAGCCCCAAUCUUAUCGCGUUCUACUCUUAGAAGAGCGAGAAGACCACUUACCACGAACCUUUUCGACCAUUAAUUCCGCCUAACUCACCUAACUUGCAAAGCCACUCGCUAAAACCUCACGCUAGAAGCUCAUGGUUCUAACGAGCUGGGGGGCUAACUGUCGGGGUCAAAAUCGGUCACGACGGAAUCAAUGUCUGAAAGUCCGUAAAAAUCGGCAUGAACAUUUUUACGAAAAAUAAAUCUUAGAAAAAUAUCUAUUUUUACGAAGAACCUUGCGGAGAAAACACAUUUACGAAAAAUCGGAGAAAGACGCGAACAAGGUUGUGGCAUAGCAACCAGCGCAAAAGCUGGUUGCUACGUAGCGACCGAGCUCUCACCAAAGCUCGGUCGCUACGUAGCAUGCUCGGUCGCUACGUAGCGUGCUCGGUCGCUACGUAGCGUGCUCGGUCGCUACGUAGCGUCCGAGCUCGAACCAAAGUUCGGUCGCUACAUAUCGACCGAGCGCUCGGUCGCUACGUAGCGACCAAGCUCCUCCAAAACGUCGAUACGACAUCAGUCCAUGCAUUCUCGUCUACCCUUCGAUGCUAUCUCCCGAAUACCGUAGCGAACCCAUCUCACGUUCCCCGCCAUUUCUAAGUUAUCAAUCAAACUUUACCGUACAAACCGCGGAAAGUUCAUUCUUUAUCGAAAGAAGCCGUAAUAAACGCUUCGAGUCGAAAGACGGCCCAAAGGGACCUAAGACACGACUCGAGGCCCAACUUACGAUUUCUUAACCAACAGCCCGUAAACCGCCCAUAAACCGCAUGUCGGUUUACGCUUGGUUCGCAAGGGAAGAUAAAUGUCAAGUUUCCGCGGAUAAAUACGAUAUUUUGAAGAUAAUUACGAAGAUCGGAAAAAAUGGAAUAUCUGCAUUUUUAUGCUAUGGCGGCUUAAGGGCAGAAGAGGAAAGGCGUAAACCGACCUUGGAGCCAGUAUAUAAGGGGUCCUAGGCGAGAGGCAUGGAGGGGACUUUUCAGAGCAAACUUAGCACUUAGAGCAAUUAGGCAACUUUCCGUUUUUGUUAUUUCGAGCUGCGACUCAACUAGGUUUUGCAGUCUUAGGUUGUUAGAACUAGGAAUCUCGCCGACAGCUCUCGUAGCCAAGGCUUAUACCUUGUUGUAACGCUCAUACGCGGAUUCGGAAUAAAACUCCUUUUGCUCUCUUUUACGAUUUCUUAUUUCUUUUGGUUUUUAAUCGCGUGUUCUGGUUGCUUGGCGUGUGGUUUAACAGAUAUCCGGGACCUCUGGGAAAUUAGGGUUUUCCUAACUUUCCUAAUUUAAACAAAAAUUGACAGUGCGAAUUUCGGUUCCCACAGACUUCUUAGAUGUGGAUUGCAAUAUUCCAGAGGUGAUGAUUCUAAGUUUUAAAUCAUGUGAGUCUCUGCUGUUUUCAAACCUGUUUCAGAGAGACUGCCCGUCUGUUUUGCUUGAGGACAAGCAAAUGGGUAAGUCUGGGAGAUUUGAUAUACCAUGGAUUUUACCCACUUUCAGACAUGGUAUGUAAGUGUUUUAAGAUAUAGUUUUUAUGUUUUGGAGUCUUUUUAGAGUAUUUACAGGUUCAGGUACGUUCUGGAGAAAUAUGGUGAUUUUAGAGCCUUUUGAGUGCAAAGAUGCACAGACGCGUCAGAUGUUCAGCUAUGGAUGGAGAUCUUUCCACCGUUAGAUUGAUCUCAUCUUUUUCCACAAUAUAUAUCUUUUAGUUAGCUUUCUAAUGCUUCCGGUUUGAGGUCAAUCAGCAUCCUAUAGCAAACGUUAUGCUCGUUUUACUGAAGAGUGGUCAGUCUGCCUCGCGAGAGGAGGAGAUGCAUGACUGUCGAUCGAUGAAACAGCAUUGCGAUCAAUCAACAGUGAUGCCAGAACGUGGGCCAAGCAUAUUUCAAGACCGAUUGAAGCUCAGAAGCCACACAAAGUUACCAAAGUAUCCAUGGACGACCGGAAACCCUAUUUAUGUAUUUCUAAGCCAUAGUUGACGGCAACAAGCUUUCUAUUAUCCUAUUCUAUUGUUUUCUCUUAGGUUGGGAGAGAAGAUCAAUUCUCCUUCAGAGAUUGAUUGGAACUCCAUUGGUUUUAUCAUUGAUUUCUUAUCUAUUAUAUUAUUCAGACUAUGAUUUGUGUUAUUGCUUUUAUGUCUGAGUAAUCAUCUUGUUAGGUUUAGGGAUUUCAUGAGCUUAAUGUCAAACUUAUAAUCAAUUAGGAUUGAUAGAUUAUCUAUAGAUCUCUACAUCAGGGUGAUUUGUAAUACUAAAAUCUGGAAUAGUAAGAAUAGCACGACAGUGUGACUAAUUGUUUGAACCUAGAAUCAUAGGAUAGUUGAGAGGCACGAAACUGCAAUCAAUUAACGGAAUCCGAACUAUUCUGGAUUAGAUACCUAGGCGCAUACGAGAGUUGCUCUAGGAAUCUAGUUGAACAUAUUCGAUUAGAUCGAUAACGCUUGCCUAAGGCAGCGUCGAUCGACGCUUAUACCAUAGAAUCGAUCGACGCUUAUACCAUAGCAUCGAUCGACGCUCAUACCAUAGCAUCGAUCGACGCUCAUAUCAUAGCAUCGAUCGACGCUUAUUCCUUGUUCGCAUGCAAGAGCUGGAACAAAGACUUAGUCAAUAGAUUAGACUCAGAAUGAGAGCUGGUUGUCUUUUACGUAAGACAUCGAGUUCUAGAAUUGAAUCUAUAAACCAUUAGCAUCCUUGAAUUGUAGUUUUGAAUCUCUUGAUUGAUAAAUCCCUAAGUCUAGCACUUUCAUCUUAUUGUUUACAAACCUCAAUCAAUCAACCGAACAACUGCCUUGUUCAACCCUGUUCUAUUUAUUUACUGCUUAUUAAAGUGUUUGCCUAGCUUAGCCUUGAUUUCUAUAGUUUAUUGUGUGCCCAUGCUCCCUGUGGAUUUGAUCCCUAAGUACUACAAUUGAACCUCUUAUUUGAAAGAGUAAAAUCACUCCUUAGGGUAAUUUGAGUGAUAUCAAGGCUACAAAGUCAAAGGAGAAGAAGACAAAGUCUUAAGGAUGAAGAACUCAAAACAAUGAUAUUGAUUACAUGCUUGUAUGUGGUGACUUGAUAUUCACCGGCAACAAUCCGAUUAUGUUUGAAGAGUUCAAGAUGGAGAUGACAAAGGAGUUCGAGAUGAGUGAUAUUGGAUUGAUGUCAUAAUACCUUGGCAUUGAAGUAAAGCAAGAAGAAAGUGGAAUCUUCAUUACUCAAGAAGGUUAUGCUAAGGAAGUGCUUAAGAAGUUCAAGAUGGAUUACUCAAAUUCAGUUUGCACACCAAUGGAAUGUGGAGUCAAAUUGUCAAAGGAAGAAGAAGGAGAGAGUGUGGAUCCAACACUAUUUAAGAGCCUUAUUGGAAGCUUACAUUAUCUAACGUGCACAAGGCCCGAUAUCCUACACGCGGUUGGAGUUGUGAUUCGAUACAUGUAGAAUCCAACAACAAAUCAUUUUAAGGCAACUAAGAGAAUCCUACGCUAUAUCAAAGGUAUGAGCAACUUUGGCUUGUAUUACUCUAUUUUUGACGAUGACAAGCUUGUUGGAUAUAGCGAUAGCGAUUGAGGUGGAGACGUAGAUGACCGGAAGAGCACAAGUGGCUUUAUAUUUUUCAUUGGAGAUACCGCUUUCAAAUGGAUGUCGAAGAAGCAACCAAUUGUCACUCUUUCAACCUGCAAUGCUAUUUGGUUACGAAACUUUCUAAAGGAGUUGAGUCUACCACAAGAGGAUCCAACGAAGAUCUUUGUGGACAACAAGUCAGGAAUAGAAUUGGGGAAGAAUCCAGUUUUCCGUCAUCGAAGCAAACAUCGAUAUCCAUUAUCACUACAUUAGAGAAUGUGUCACUGAUAAGUGUCAAAUAUAUUGGUUUUUAUAUCAAGUUCUAGCUAAGUUUUAUUAGUUUUUAUUAUGUAUUAUGGUUGUUCUGGAGUCUUUUUGUGUUAUAUAGCGUUUAUACAGGUCACAGGGGCUAAAGCCAAAAUUGGGAAAAAUUGGAAGACUUUUCUGCACCAUUUGAGAGUUUAAAUGUGUAAAUUCACAAUUGGUCGAUGGCUCUUCUCCGACGUACUCGAUCCGGUGCCCUCGACCCAGCCAUCGAUCCUCAAGUCCGAGCUGAGCAAAGUGAGCACUUGGAGAUGACGAGCCGCUCGAUCCAGAACCCUUGACACCCAGCUUGCAUCGCUCGACGUAACCCACGACUCCUCAAGCUCGUGACGAAGAAGAAGACGCACCGGGUCCGGUACGGCUCAACGGCGGAGCUCCGACGAGGCGACCACAGUUCAGACGAGACGGAGAGAUGGAGGCGUGGUGGUUGAAGGGACACGACAGCGCCAUUGACGAAGAUUGAAUCCGAGCUUGAAGAAGAUGAAGCAAACGUGUUUUAGUGCAAAACGAUGCGUCUCAAAAACGCAGUCUCAUAAAACAGCGUUUGCGUUUGGCGCUUGGCGUUUGGCAUUUGGCGUUUGACUUUUGACUUAUUUUCCUAAGACUAUAUAUAUGUGUAAAUGUUUAAACUCUAAUAGAGAUUUUGUCUUUUUGUCUAUCUUUGCAGACCUUUCUGAACACGUGUCUUAUUUAUCAAAAAUUAUAAGAAGACUUUUCUAGAUUAUUUCUCUAAAUCAUAUUUAUCCUUAAUGUUAACAUGUGCUUAAAAGUUCUCAUGAAGAUUAGUGAGUAGUCACUCGGUUGGGUCUAGGGUUUCUCACAAAAGAGAUUUUAUGAGUUGUUGACAUUAAGAUUGCUAGAUCUAGAGAGUUAUCUUUUGGUUCUUCAUCUAUUGGUGUUUUUAAUGUUGAAGCUUGAUUACCUAUCUAGUUUCAGAGCCCAUGUUAUUUCAGGUCUGACAGGUGUUCAAUGAAAUGCCCGAAACAAUUUUAGAUGAGCAAAGUGUCUUCCACGUUGAGUUUCAGAUUCUAUAACUUAGAGAGUUAGUGCUACGACAAUAGGUUGAUUAUGUUAUUGUGUUUGAGUUCACGGCGUUGCUUAACUUCUUUCUCUAGCCAAUUUAUCUGUCUAGCUAGUAAUUGCUUAUCUGUUUACAACAGUAGGUUAAAAUUGCUUAUAUAGCCUUAGCUAGUAAUUUAUCUAUAGCUUUUCGUGUGAACUUUGGUCCUUGUGGAUUCGAUCCCGAAUACUAUUACGUACUUUACUGUGCACUUGCAGUUAGUCUUUCGGGUUAAAACCUGAGUGAUCAGUCACCAAAAUGGAUGUGCAGAUGGAGUAUGUGAAGACAAAUGAUCAAGUUGCUGAUAUUUUCAUAAAGCCUCUCAGACGUGAAGAAUUUAACAAGAUGCAGAGUUUGCUCAGAGUAACAAAUCAAGUUUAAUAGGGGUGUUGAAAGCUAAACUUGUUUUGGAUCAUAGUUUUGGGCAACUAAUCAUUAUGUGUGGGUUAAAUCCAAAAUUUGAUCCAAAAUCUAUAAAGUGUCUAAAAAAAUAUCUAAAAUAAUAAGAAUAAAAUAAUAUUUUGGUCUUGGGUAGAAUUCUCUGGAAUAGAUUAAAAUAUUAGAGAUAUUUGUACUUAUGAAGCUAUAAAUACUUCCAUUUUCUUCUCAUUGUAAUCAUUCAAAAAACAGGAGAAAUCCUCUUUAGUAAUAAAAACAUCUUCUUCUUUUUUUAGUAAUAGUUAUAAAGAAGAAAUCUUUUUUCUUAUCAAAAGGAAGAGAAAGCUCUCCUCUUCAUAGAAAUAUAUAUAUAUAUNNNNNNNNNNNNNNNNNNNNNNNNNNNNNNNNNNNNNNNNNNNNNNNNNNNNNNNNNNNNNNNNNNNNNNNNNNNNNNNNNNNNNNNNNNNNNNNNNNNNNNNNNNNNNNNNNNNNNNNNNNNNNNNNNNNNNNNNNNNNNNNNNNNNNNNNNNNNNNNNNNNNNNNNNAUAUAUAUAUAUUCAAACACUUAAACACUUUCUCUAAUUUUAUUAAAUAAAUAUUUUCAUUCCAACAUUAAAUAUCUUUACUUCAUUAUUUAAUGCAUUAUUCUUUAUAUUUUACUAGGGGUUGGUUUAAAGUUAUUUUAUAUUAAAAUGUGUUUUAAUUUUAUAAAAAGUUUUAAAAAUUACUCAAAACUGAAUAUAAUAAAUAUAAUUUAUUUUCUAAUUAGUUCAUAUAUAUUUACUUUGUUAACAUUUGACAUUUCUUUAUAAUUCUUACAUGUUUGGAUUUUUUUAAUUAUCUACUAUAUUUUAUGAUAUUGUACUAUUUUAUUUUAAGUAUUAUUUCAGUUAUAUUUUAAUGGAAAUACGUUAUUUUUCGCAUUUGCAUGAGAUUAUAUGUGUAGUAUUUUAAAUUGUGUGUUAAAGUUUUAUGUUUAAUUGUGGUAUAUCUGAAUGUAUUAUAUCCGUGAUUAUAAGCGUCUCUAACAAUGUUCUUAUUCAAAAAUUUCCUUUAACCAAAUACUAAAAUUACAUUGUCUUUGGCUAAUCUACCAGUUUUAUCUUCUUGAGUUUUUUUUGUUUAUUGUUAAUCGAGAAAAAUAUUCUUCUUCUUCUUGUGGACUCUUAAUUAGGAAAAAAAUCCCAAUCUUGAUUUUCUAUAAAGUAACAUUUAAUUUUUAAUCUUAUGUAAGUUUCUAGUUUAAAUCUUAAAGCAAGAUUUCAUAUCAACGCAGUUAAUAAUAUACAUGAUCAACAAAAGGAUCAUUUUCUAAUGGAUUUCCCUGAAUGAAUUUUAAAUACAUAUAAUUUUACGUGCAGAUUCCUUUAUAGUUUUGCCAAUUAGAUUGUAGUUGCAAUUAUUCCGAUUAAAAUUUUGGUUCAAACAAAUACAUCUAGUAUGUGACAACACCAUGUUAUUGCAUUAGAAGAACAGCAAAGAACCGUCCAACCACAUAAAUUGAUUUGAAUAGAUUAUGAACUUUGUUUAAAAUUUUAUUUAGAAUUAUCAAACCCAGAAAGUAGUUUUUCAUUAAUUCAUAUUGAUACAAAUUUUUUAUUGUGUACAAUGAACGUGUUUAUAUUUAACCAGAAUGAAAAGAGACAUGGACGUUUGUAACUCUUGAAAACAACAAUGAUGUAGAAAUGAGUAAUUUUAGAGAAAGUACUUUGAAACUACGAUUAAAGACAUCCAGGCCUGAAAGAUAAAACUCUGUUACUUAAUUACAUGUCUCUGAUACCGACUUUAGUUUGCAACAUAUGAAAACUGAUUUAUCAAAAAAGAACAUACGAAAAGUGAUGUAGCAAAUCAGUUGAUCGCAUUUUAAGAUUAUUUAUGAGAGCUUUUAUUCUUUGUUAUGUGUCAAGCUAUAAAAUUCUGAAAUUUUAAAAGUGAAACCAUUUGUUUUGAAAGAGAAACAAACGUGCAUAAGAAAUAAAUGAACCCGGAUCACACAUUGUUAUGAUGAGUAAGACUUCUAAUCAUUGCUAGAUUUAGAAAAUAAGAUGAUAUAGCUAGAGGAAGAAUAAAUACACAAACCCUUUCAUUUCUCUUUUCUUUUCAUGUAAAAAAAUAAAAAUCGUUCUCCAAUCUAUUCUACUUGGUCCCAAACAUCUGCCUAGUUUGUGGACAUCUCUCAUGUUUUUGAGUUCAUGACUUCAUGGUAGUUUAAUAAAAACGAAGAAGGAAAAUCGAGAUAAAGAAUCGAAGAAGGAUAGAGUGAGGUUCUGUCCUUUGAGUUUUGUCUCUUUAGCUUUCGAGUCUUAACCUCAAUGCUAGUUGCUAGUUGGGUCACCUAUUUGGGCUCAGCAGGGUCGAAUUUCCUCACACCGACGGUCAUAGAAGAAGACGGAGAGACUUCAUAAGCAACAGUUUGAGCCACCACUUGUUGUGGUUUUGGGUUUAAUGGAGCUCGAAGACUGAAUCUUUGUGCGUUGGUCAUUCGAGGAGGAUGAUGAUAAUGGAACUAAUGUGCUGAGCAAUCAAGACCCAAGAGGUUAAGGCGCAACAAGCAAGUCAGCGAGUGAAGAAUAAGAGCUCAUGGAGUGGUCAAAUUUGCAAGCUGGCACAAACUUGCAAAUCCCAUGUUGAGCAUAGUAGCUGCAUUGCGCUGUGCCCUGCAAAUGAUAUUAUUACUAGUAUUCACUUUGUUAUAACAUGCAUUAUUGUAUACAGAAAGAAUAAUUAUUUUCAAAAAAUCUUUGUCAGAGAUCAUGAGAGAACUACCAACAUAGGUAGUUGUUUUCGAUGGAAAGAGAGAGAAAAAAAGAACUUCAUUAUUGAAUCAAAGAGUUCUAGCUAGUUAAAUUGUCAAAAAUACCAGUUCCAAAGUACCAUUUUUCAUGUUUAUACUAACCACUAUUACUCUCAUUCUUAAUGAAGUGUAAAAUACAUUUACAGCCAUUUGAUUAACUUUGACAAAAAAAAUCUAUGGUUAACUAAUUUAAACUUAAAACAUCAACUCUAAACCCUAAAUCAUCAACUUAAAACUCUAAACCCUAAACCCUGAAACAUCAACUCUAAACCCUAAACCCCGAAACAUCAACUCUAAACCCUAAACCCUAAACCCUAAACCUUCAAAUCUAAACCCUAAAACAUCAACUCCAAACUCUAAACCCCGAAUUAUCAACUCUAAACCCUAAACCUUCAAAUCUAAACCCUAAAACAUCAACUCUAAACCCUAAAAGUAAACCUUAAACCCUAAACCCUAUAUUUUCCGAAAUUCGAACCCUAAACUCUAGGAUUUUAGGGUUU
rnacentral:lncRNA from 1 species